AUAGCGAUAGCCAAAUCAUCCGCUGUUGCCAUCCUUUAACCUGAAAACCACCUCUCUCGAUGACUUGUUACUGUAAACUAAAAGAUUAUAAAAGAUUUUAUAGUAAACGUUCAAUGGUGAUCAAAAGGAAUAUUAAGGAUCCAGAGUGACGAUUGAUCAAAACGAUCUUAAGGCUGUCAUAUAUACCGACAACGGUGAACUUUUGUUAAAAACCAAUGACUUGAAUCAUCUGCAUAACUUAAGUAAUUAUUAAUUGUAUGUAGAAAGGAUUCAGAUUUUGGCUAAUAUAUGUUUCAGAAAUAAA